rnacentral:rRNA from 1 species
CCAGUUUGAUCCUGACUGUGUCUGAGGCUUCGGUCAAAGAUUAAGCCAUGCAAGUUUCAAUCCGUCGAUUCGUUCGAUAAAUUGCGUACAGCUCAUUGAUCAGUUAUCAUCUCUUUGAAAAUGAUUUUCUAUAUGGAUAUCGAUAGAAACUCUAGCGCUAAUACAUGCAUCAAGACCUAAUCUUACGAGAGGGUUGUAUUUAUUAGAUUGUAAUCAACACUGAAUUUCGGUUCAUUUUUGGUGAUUCCUAGUAACUGUUCGGAUCUCAUACGUAUGUGUGAGACAGUUCAUUCGAGUUUCUGUGGUAUUAGCUGUGAUGGUAGUGUAUUGGACUACCAUGGCAUUGAUGCCAACGGGGUGCUAGAGCACGACACCGGAGAACUUAGCCUUCGAGACGGCUAGUAUCACCAAGGUAAGCAGCAGGCGCGAAAAUUACUCUAUUUAGACACAAAGAAGUAGUGACCACCAUUAUUGAUCUUAUCUGUUUCGAUAGAUGAGAAUCAAAAUGAGACCAAUGUAAAUAUCUUCAACGAAAGCUAGAGGAGGGCAAGUCUGGUGCCAGCAGCCGCGGUAAUUCCAGCUCCUUCAGCCUGAGAUAGAAUUGUUGCAGUUAAAACGCUCGUAGUUGGAUUUUGUGGUGUGGUUUUGUGAUAUUUUGUAUGCAUAUUCGUAUGUAUAUGAGAUACCACAACACACUAUAAUGGUGUUUUCUACGUUUCGACAAGGAAAACAUAUUACUGUGAGAAAAAGAGUGCGCUUAAGGGCGGCUUAUAUGCUAAGAUCAUUUAGCAUGGAAUAAACAUAACGGACAUUGGUUUGUUAUGUGUUGGUUUUCAAACCAAGUCAUGAUUGAUAAGGAUGGUUUGGGGAUGUUCGUAUUUAUACUCGAGGGGUGAAAUCUGAUAACAGUAUAAGGACGAUCUUUAGCGAAAGCAUUCAUCAAUUCCAGUCCUAUUAAUCAAGAACGAAAGUUGGGGGAUCGAAAGUGAUUAGAUACCACUGUAGUCUCAACCAUAAACGAUGUCAUCUAUGGAUUCGUCUUGUACAUUUUAAAUUCAUGUAACAGUGGAUUUUAUUCGUCAAGAGGAGCACAUUGUGAGAAAUCAAAGAGUCUGGACUCUGGGGAGAGUAUGGUAGCAAUGCUGAAAUUUAAAGGAAUUGACGGAAGUGGUACCACCAGGAGUGGAUCGUGCGGCUUAAUUUGACUCAACACGGGAAAACUUACCAGUGCCGAACAUAGUGAGGAUAGACAGACUGCAGCUCUUUCUUGAUUCUGUGCUUUUUUUACGUAGUGCAUGGCCUUUGGGAAGUGAGUGGAUUGAUUUUUCUGAUUAAUUUCGAUAACUAGCGAGACCUCGAUCAUGUUAAUUGCAUAAUCCAUACAUUUGUAUGAUGUGUUAUGCUCUUAGUGAGACACUUGGUGUUGUAGCCAAAGGAAGCUCGAGGCGAUAAAAGGUCCGUGAUGCUCUCAGAUGUUCUGGGCCGCACGCGCGAUACACUGAUUUGGUCAUGGAGUAGUGAGGUUUUUUUCUUUCGAGGAAAGAACAUCUCCUGUAUCGAGAGAUAUGGGGAAUCUUGGAAACCAAAUCGUGCUGGGGAUUGAUGACUGCAACUGUUAUCAUGAACGAGGAAUUCCUAGUAAACAUACGUCAUCAGCGUAUAUUGAUUACGUCCCUGCCCUUUGUACACACCGCCCGUCGCUGUUACCGAUUGAAUGGCUUAGUGAGGUGUAAGGAGGAGUACAUUUGUAUUCCAAAUUACCCCAAACUGCGUCAUUUAGAGGAAGCAAAAGUCGUAACAAGGUAUCUGUAGGUGAACCUGCAGAUG